UUCCCAGCCUUGAAAGACAUAAAGACAUAAAGCCUUAGUAGUUUUCAUUAACUGUUGUUGGAUUCAGUACAUAUUUUUGCAACUAAUAAAGUAAAAAUAUGUGAGCUAUAUAUUAGGAGAUGGUGGAAUAAAGGCAAUCAAGCAAGAAUCCUUGCUCCAAAAGAUUUCACAAUCAAGUGAUAAGAUAUGCAAAUCAGCUAUAUAAUUCAAUAUCAUAAAAUGUCCUCUCUGGGAACCCUGAAGUGUACCAACUGUGAGAUUAGGAAAGCUAAACAAUGAAGGGCUGUUUGCACUACACCUGGGAGUUAGAGAGACUAGCAGGUCAAUGGGGCAUUCUGUAGAGGAAACAGCAAAAGCAACCCCAGCGGUGUCAAGGGAUUAUUCCACAUCAUGUGUUUGGGUAGAGUAUUACCCCUCUGAAGCAUCCAUGUCUCAACUGGGGUCUGUGACUAUUAUCUUUUUGUCUUUUUCUUUUUUAUCGGUACCAGGGAUCGAACUCACAACUGCCUGCUUGCAAGGCAGGUGCUUAUGCUGCUGAGCUAAAUCCCCAGGCCCUGUGACUAUAAUCUGAUAUGCCAAAAGGUACCCUGAGGAUGGGACUGCUCUGCUCUCUCUGUCUCUGUCUCUGUCUCUUUGUCUCUCUCUCUUUGUCUCUCUCUCUCUCUCUCUUUUGAGACAGGAUCUCAUUAGAUAGCCCAGGCUGGCCUCAAAUUCCCUAUGAAGCACAGAUUGACCUUAUACUUAGGAUCCUGCUUCAGCCUCCUGAGUGCUGGGAUUUCAGCUGUAUUAAUAACCUUAAUAUUAUCCACGAUUACCCAGGUGAUGCCUAAAUGUGAUCACAGGUGUUCGGUGUUCUUACCCCUCUUUCACGAAGGAGAGCAGGUCAGCAGGAGGUGCUAUGAGGGAGGACGAAGAGGGAAAGGUGAACUGAAGAGGGCCACAAGCAGAACACGGCGGCCUCUACACCUGGAAAAGUGUAUGUUUGGGACACAUAACAGUUACAUGCAUCUUGGGGAACUGGUACGUAUACACAUCACAUCUUGAUCAGUUUUACUCCCCUUUAUCCCCUUGCAUUCUCCACUCUCCCUCUUUCCCCAGAUCCCCUUCCUCUGGCCAUAGAGUCUGCCUUCCUUUUUCCUGCCAUCUCUGUUUUGUUUUGCUCUUCAUUUAUGCCUUGGUUUUCUCACAUUAGGGAAACCAUGUGAUAUUUAACAUUCUAUAUCUGAUUUAGUUUACUUAACUGUAGGUUUCAAGAUUCAUCCAUUUCCUACAACUGACUCAAAUUUAUUUUUUUUCAUGGCAGAGUAGUACUGUAUUGUAUCUAUAUGCCACAUUUUCUUCAGUCAAUCAUCAGUUGAUAUCGAAUGGGGUAUCACUGUAAUAAGAUGGGAAAAUACCCAAAAGAAAUAUAGCUGGUCAAAUGGAAUUUUUAGUUUUAGUUUUUUGAGAAAUCUCCAUACUGACUUCUAUAGUCUUAUUAGUUUACAUUCCUACCAACAAUGUACAGGGUUCUUUUCUUGUCACAACUGAAAGGUUUUGGCCCAGACAGGACACUGUAGCCAGGAAAGCCACAACCGGAAGCAGGAAGCCCCAUCUUGCCCUGCCCCUAGGAAGUUACCUGUGACGCCAUCUUCCCGCCCCUGGGAAUUUACAUAUGGCGCCAAACCUAGGACCAAUGGGCUACCUGUGUAUCCCUAAUGCCCGCCUUAGGUUCCACCCCAAACCGAGGCUAUUUACAGGCCCCCACGCUGCGUGUCCGCCGGAGAGAUCGCCGGACGCCAGCGGUGGGGUUGCCGGUCAUCUCUCUCCGUGUUCUCAGAAUAAAGGCCGCUUUUUAUUUUAUAUUUCUCAUCUUUUGUUAAUAUUUUUCAUCUUUUGGAAAUAACUCUAUCAACAACUAUAUCAGCAUUUGUUGUUUUUUGAGUCCUGCAUAAUAGCCAUUCUGGCUUUUUUUUUCUUUAAUUUUUAAAAUAAUUUUACCCAUUGUUUUAAAAUUAAAAUGUUGAGCAAGAAAACAUUGUUUCGGGCCAGGGAUUUAGCUCAGCAGCAUAAGCGCCUGCCUUGUAAGCACAAGAUUGUGAGUUCGAUCCCCAGUACAAAAAAAAGAUUGUUUCUUGGGAAAAUAUGCAAAGCUGGAUCAUCCCCCAUCUCUGUAUCACACCCCGAGACCUUAAUUCCAUCAGUACCAUUCCACAGUACCACCUAUCUGGAAAGGUGAAUCCAUCAAAGACCUGUCCAGUCUGGACAAAGCAUUCCCACAGGAAAGCACAGUUCCAUCUGGCUGUGAACAUCGACUCUGUCCAGGGGCUUUGGUACAUUUGGAGUAGACAAAAAUAAUGGCACAAUAAUACAAGUAACAUCCAAGGAAAAAUUUUACCUAAAGAAAGAAAAACUGAGCACUUGCCUGGCAAACUUGAGGUCCUGAAUUUGAUUCCCAGUACAAAAGAAAAAAAAAAAAGUAAAGUAAAAAUAACCAGGCAUGAUAUGUAAUGAUGUUCCAGAAAACAAAAGAAUUCAUUUUUUCUUUUUUAGAAAAUGAAACAGUUCAUUUUUACAAGUCCAUUUAUGUGACCAGAGGUUUGAUAUUUUAAGAAAAAUACCUUAAUAAAAAUAUACUCGGUUCUAAAAGUAGUCUUCAUGGUCAUUUCUGAAAUUCAAGUCACCAUUAUCAAAUUAAAAUAAUGCCACAUAUUUUUGUUUUUUUUUUCAAAGUCCUUACAUCACAAACAAAGCAACUUUACUUUUUUUUGUACUGGAAAUUGAACUCAGGACCUUGUGCUUGAACAAGACAGAACUGAACUCAGACAGGAGCUUAUACUGCUGAGGUAUAUCCCUGGACCUACGUUUUCUGUAAUACAGUACAUUUCCUUGUGACUACACAGACUAUGUAUAUCACUGGUAUUAUGAAUGCAAAGUAAAAGCCUUCAUGGAA